rnacentral:rRNA from 1 species
CGCUAAAUACGAUCAAGAAGCGGCGGAAAUAGGUCGGAGCCAGUCGUGAUCCUGAUUUACGGUGAGUAAAGGGUGAGGAUGUGCCAUAUCAAGUCAGAAGUGGAAUGCAGGGGCGCAACCCCGGAUCUACAUUUGAAACUGCAUAGCUAGAGGACAGGAGAGUCAGUCGGAAUGCCUAGUGUAGCGGUGCAAUGCGUAGAUAUUAGGAGGAACACCAGUGGCGAAGGCGGCCUGCUGGACUGUUACUGACACUGAGGCACGAAAGCGUGGGGAGCAAACAGGAUUAGAUACCCCAGUAGUC